ACACACAACAACAAUGGCGUCUGCAAGGCAUAGUGAGCACGAGGUCAAGAUCCAAAAAGUGGAUCAACUACCAAGAGAACAAAAGAUGUGCUAAUUUUAAGGAGAUGCUGUAGCUCUUCUCCUAGAUGGGGGUGUUUGGUUGCCAGGAGCAUGUUCCUUGACGGAAAAAAUGAUAGAAGAAGAAGACAUACAGGAAGAUGAAGAAGAGGAUACAUCACCUCGAGGAAAGAAAACCUCCUCAUCUACAUGAAUGAAAUGGACGGAGGCUGAACUGGAGGAGGUUAAGGAAUAUUUCAGAGAAUGUCUGAUCUCGAACACCACUCCAGGAAGAAUAAGUUGCAAUAUGUGGAUAGAGGAAAGCAGAGCUAAUAUAAUAAGCUAUGGGAAACUCUAAAGAAGAAAGAGUGGAGUCUGCCCCCCCCCCCCCCCCCCCAAAAAAAAAUAAAAAAUAAAACCACCUUGACAGUUUUUGGAUCUAAAAUCUACAGCAAAACUUAAUUAUGUAAUGAUGUUUGUUUUCAUCUUCCUCCUUGCUCUUAUUACAGUGAAUUUUUAUUUUUUUAGUUUAUUGCUUGAAUUUUCUUGAACUGUGGCCAUGUUGCAAUUAUUUAAGAUCCAUGCUUAGAAAAAUUGUUAAUUGCUAAAUUGUCAUUUGCAUAACAGCCAGGUAGUUGCAAAAUGAUGGUACAUGUACCUUGACCUAUCAUAAAUUGAUAUUUGUAAAGGUUUCUAGACCAGAUAUGUAGUGUUCAAAAAAUAUUUGAACUAUUUAAUGCUUAUAAUGCUUAUGAAUGCCAAUUGUUUUUUGAAAAAUAAAAACGAAAUGUUAAA
rnacentral:sRNA from 1 species